GAUGAAGAACGCAGCGAAAUGCGAUAAGUAAUGUGAAUUGCAGAAUUCAGUGAAUCAUCGAAUCUUUGAACGCACAUUGCGCCCAUUAGUAUUCUAGUGGGCAUGCCUGUUCGAGCGUCAUUUCAACCCUUAAGCCUAGCUUAGUAUUGGGAAUCGACUUUACUGUUGUUCCUCAAAUUCAACGGCGGAUUUAUAGCAAUCUCUGAACGUAGUAAUUUUUUUUCUCGUUUUUGAAAUACUAUAAACCUCAGCCGCUAAACCCCCAAUUUCUUAUGGUUGACCUCGGAUCAGGUAGGAAUACCCGCUGAACUUAAGCAUAUCAAUAAGCGGAGGA
rnacentral:misc_RNA from 1 species